ensembl:lncRNA
CGUUAAGCCGGCCGUUUGCGGCGGAGACUCGGGCCGCACUUGCGCGAUGGCCCCUUGCAGGACUCCCCCCCGCCCUCGGCGAAGCCUGGUCAGGGAACGUCACGAAAUUCCUAAUUCCUGGAGAGCUGGCGGCUCCCGGGGUCACCCGAAUGGGUGAGGAGGCGCCGGGUCGGAUUUGGGAGAGGCAGGGAGACGUAGGGAACAGCCGGGAAGGUUGAGGAUCCCCUUAAGAGAGAUGCUGAGAACUGGCCGGAGUGGACCCCCGCGACCCGUUCCUGUAUCUCCCCUGGGCUGAGCACGCAGGACCCCAGGCUUCCCGGGGCCCUUAGAGUAGUGAGUUACCCCUCCCCGAAAAUAAAGGCCUAAAAACCAGUCCCUGCCCACGUGUUAUUAAGAGCUGGCUUUGCAACUUUCGGGACCUAGAUCCCAGUCCUGGCCUCUCCUUCGCAGCCUCGGUUUUCUCACCUGUAAAGUGGGGCGAUUAUAAUCCCUUUUAGGUCUGUUGUGGGGAUAAAAUGAUACGACGCUCAGCCCAGCGCCUGGCCGGGGCCAGAACUCAAGCUCGGGACCCUAUGAAUGUUAUCUGGAGUCAGAUUAUGGGAUGCUCCCUCUCUAAGGAGUAGAGACAACUGGUUUUCUCCUCCACCCAACAAGAGGUCGGAAGAGAUGAGGCCCCGCACAGUGCCUGACACAACUCCGACACGCAAAGAAAACUCGGUGGUCAGGAGCCAAGCUCGGAUGAGCCCCAUCACAGGCCAACCUUCCCGUUCCCCAGCCAGGUGGGCCAGGCACUUGCAAAGUCUCCCUGCCAGGCAGUGGGCAGAGAUAGUCUCCCAGAACCGACCUCGGGUGCUGAAAGUGGACCACGUGUUUACUGAGUGAGUGUCCAGUUUCCACCUCUGGCUGGGGAGUGGGAGGCAAGUCUGGGGCCCUUUCCCCCAGCAUUGCACGUUGUGGAGGAAGGGGGGCGGGUCUCAGGAAGACAGUGCAGAUUCCUGAUGGCCCCCAGGCACAGUUUUCAGGCCCGAGAUCGGUAACACAUGGCACUCUUGGGCCCCAUCGGGCCCAGACUAACCCGGCCCAACCCCGGCAGUCAGGGAUCAGUCGUGGAAUCGCUGGUGUCUCUGAGGUUAGAGGGUUCCAUUCAGGAAACGUCGGGUGUUGCUCUCAUCCUAUCUCCCAAACACCCGGAGAUGACUGCAGGACUUCUCCUUAAGGCCGGGAUCAGCCUCCCCGCAGCUGUGGGUCUGUUUGUGUCCAAGGCCCCCUGGUGCUCGCCGGCUGUCUGAGGACAACAG